rnacentral:lncRNA from 12 species
CGCAGGCUCGGCCGCGCGGGUAGGGAGUGCGCAGGCUCCGGGCUCCCGCCCCCCGGGCUCGGGCCAGAAGCGCCAACUUUGCGGGGGCCCGGCCCGGUGCGAGCCCCUCCGCGAGGGUUUAUGGCUGAGACCCUCGACCGGAAGACAAUUCUGUAGGGAAAGAGAUGGUGACGCCUCCAGGUCCUCCAUGAACACCGAUGACCUGACGGUUGCGUCUGUCGCGCCGAGCGGACGCCGCGGGGAAGGUGCAGGUGCUCGGCCGCCCUCGGAGCCCGGGCGCGGGACGUCCUUCUCGGAAGCACCAGCGGCCACACACAGAUCGACGCCAGCUGCUCACUGACAGGUUCCCGGGGAGCACGUUUGGCUUCCUGUGCAAACACGGGAAUACCUGAUUCCAAACGUGGAUCAAGACCUAUUGUAAGAAGGACAGCGGUUGGGUGACCGGUCGAGACUGUGCCUCUUGCGGCCGUGGGUCCCCCGGAGAAGCGUGUCCCGUUUUGUCCUCGGGCUGCACGUGGGGCGGGGGAGUCUCGCCUGUAGGUUUCCUGGGACACCUGGACGGUCCUAGCAACGUCUCUCCUCCCUCCCGGGCGCGCUGCAGCUCUCGGGCUGUCUGGGCCGCAGGACACGGAGAGAGCGACUGGGUGUCCUGACGUCCAGGUACGUGGUGUGACACACGCGGCGGAGCUAAGAGGCAUCGGGCCGUGAGCGGCCACGCCCACUGGGUAGGGACGCAACUCCCUGGACCUGGCGUGAACGUUCACGUGGUCACCCGGUCGCUGCUCAACACACCCUCUAACUUUUACUCCGUGUUUCCGGCAGCCCCGGUGACGGGAGGCGUCCCGGCUGUGGGACCCGCGUCCGGGUUGGGUCCUGGCCUCCGUGCCCAGCUCCGGAGGCUUCGUCCAGAGCAAGGGGGGCCGCGUUCUCGAAGCUGGCUCCCUGCAGUGCCCUUGCCUUUCCCCGGACUCAGACUGUAGAGCUGUUAGAAGUCAGAGGCCGGGCUGGGAGGAUUUACAGGGACAACGGAGGGUGGAAUCAGCCACACUUUGCUUUAAUCAGGCUUUAGUUGCUGUGGCCUCGAGGCCUGUCAGCUUCUGAGGUAUUUGCAUAUCAGCACGAGGCUGUCCUGGGUGUUAAUCCUGUUUACCUCUCCCAGCAUCUCCCUCCUGCCUUCCAGCAGGUGUCUGACUUCAGUGGCUGCCUCUGGGGGACUCCUGUGCUGGGGACCCCGGCCUCCUCUGCUCCCUGGGCGGAGCCCUCCAGCCCGAGGGUAGAUGGGGUUGGGGUCAGAACAAAGCCUGGUUUGGGGGACGGGGGGGGGGGGGGG